CGACAUCAGUUCCUUAUGCUGAAUUUGAAGCUUAUUCAGUGUAAUUUGAGUGUGUCGUAGAAUAAAUAUUGAUUUCUUCACCGGUUUUGAUCUGUCUAAGACAUUUUACUAGUCAAAACUGUUUUUGCAAGUCAAAACAAAA